UGGCUCAGGAUGAACGCUGGCGGCGUGCCUAAUACAUGCAAGUCGAACGCUUUGUGGUUCAACUGAUUUGAAGAGCUUGCUCAGAUAUGACGAUGGACAUUGCAAAGAGUGGCGAACGGGUGAGUAACACGUGGGAAACCUACCUCUUAGCAGGGGAUAACAUUUGGAAACAGAUGCUAAUACCGUAUAACAAUAGCAACCGCAUGGUUGCUACUUAAAAGAUGGUUCUGCUAUCACUAAGAGAUGGUCCCGCGGUGCAUUAGUUAGUUGGUGAGGUAAUGGCUCACCAAGACGAUGAUGCAUAGCCGAGUUGAGAGACUGAUCGGCCACAAUGGGACUGAGACACGGCCCAUACUCCUACGGGAGGCAGCAGUAGGGAAUCUUCCACAAUGGGCGAAAGCCUGAUGGAGCAACGCCGCGUGUGUGAUGAAGGGUUUCGGCUCGUAAAACACUGUUGUAAGAGAAGAAUGACAUUGAGAGUAACUGUUCAAUGUGUGACGGUAUCUUACCAGAAAGGAACGGCUAAAUACGUGCCAGCAGCCGCGGUAAUACGUAUGUUCCAAGCGUUAUCCGGAUUUAUUGGGCGUAAAGCGAGCGCAGACGGUUAUUUAAGUCUGAAGUGAAAGCCCUCAGCUCAACUGAGGAAUUGCUUUGGAAACUGGAUGAC
rnacentral:rRNA from 1 species